GUGAAGAAGGACGUGGCUACCGGCGAAACGUUUCGGGGAGUUGGAAGUAAGCUUUGAUCCGAAAGUAUCCGAAUGAGGAAACUCAAUAACUUCUUACUGAAUCUAUAAGUAAAGAAAGAGCAAACCUAGGGAACUGAAACAUCUUAGUACCUAGAGGAAAAGAAAGUAAAAACGAUUCCCUGAGUAGUGGCGAACGAAACGGGAAGAGCCUAAACUUUUUAAGAUUGUAUAAUUUUGAAAAGGGUUGUGGGAAGAAUAAGUUUUUCGUUUUUUAUUUUAUAAAAUAACGAAAAAUAAAAAAGAAACUCGAGCAAAAGCUAAGUCUUUUUAAGAAAUUAGGUGAAAUAACUGGAAAGUUAUACCAAAGAAAGUGAUAGUCUUGUAACCAAAAAUUUCUUUACUAUAAUUUAUUCCCGAGUAGCAUGGGGCACGUGGAAUCCCGUGUGAAUCUGCGAGGACCACCUCGUAAGGCUAAAUAUUCCUGAAUGUCCGAUAGCGUAUAGUACCGCGAGGGAAAGGUGAAAAGAACCCCGGGAGGGGAGUGAAAUAGAACGUGAAAUUGCAAGCCCACAAACAGAAAGAGAACGACUUAGCGUUUAAUUUCGUGCCUGUUGAAGAAUGUUCCGGCGACUUAUAGUUAGUGGCAGGUUAAGAGAGAGAUCUCGGAGCCAGAGUGAAAGCGAGCUUGAAUAGAGCGUUCGUCACUAAUUAUAGACCCGAACCCGGUUGAUCUAACCAUGGCCAGGAUGAAACUUAGGUAAUACUAAGUGGAGGUCCGAACCGACUGAUGUUGAAAAAUCAGCGGAUGAGUUGUGGUUAGGGGUGAAAUGCCAAUCGAAACCGGAGCUAGCUGGUUCUCCCCGAAAUGUAUUUAGGUGCAGCGGUUAAUAUUAUAGCGUAGGGGUAAAGCACUGUUUCGGUGCGGGCUGGUAAUUCGGUACCAAAUCGAGGCAAACUCUGAAUACUACGUGCACAGUUAACCAGUAAGACUAUGGGGGAUAAGCUUCAUAGUCAAGAGGGAAACAGCCCAGAUCACCAGCUAAGGCCCCUAAAUAAUGACUAAGUGAUAAAGGAAGUGGAAAGGCUUAGACAACCAGGAGGUUUGCUUAGAAGCAGCAAUCCUUUAAAAAGUGCGUAAUAGCUUACUGGUCUAGCAAUUCUGCGCCGAAAACUUAUGGGACUAAGUCAUUUGCCGAAGCUGUGAGAUAGAAAAAAAUUUUCUAUCGGUAGGGGAGCGUUCUGUUGUAGAGUGAAGUAUUAGCGAAAGCGGGUAUGGACGAAACAGAAGUGAGAAUGUCGGAUUGAGUAGCGAAAACAUUGGUGAGAAUCCAAUGCUCCGAAAACCUAAGGUUUCCUCCGCAAGGCUCGUCCACGGAGGGUUAGUCAGGACCUAAGAUGAGGCUGAGAAGCGUAGUCGAUGGAGAAUUGGUCAAUAUUCCAAUACUCGGUUCUAGCAGGUAUCGAGGGACGAAGAAGGCUAAACUAGCCAGAUAUUGGUUACUGGUUUAAGUAGUUAAUUUGAAUAAAAAAUUAUAAAAUGAACUCCGUUCAAAAAAAAAUUCUCUAGUUCAAAUUAUUUAUGAGGUGUUGAAGGUUAGAGAAAAUAAUCUGAGCUGAAAUACGAAUACAAGAUUUUUAAAAUCAAAGUAGUUGAUGUCAUACUUCCAAGAAAAGCUCGCUAUGCCUUAUGCUAGAAUCACCUGUACCAGAAACCGACACAGGUAGGUAGGUAGAGAAUACCAAGGAGCGCGGGAGAACCCUCCUUAAGGAACUCGGCAAAAUAGCUCUGUAACUUCGGAAGAAAGAGUGCCUUUUAGGCUGCAAUAUCAAGUUCCAAGCAACUGUUUAGCAAAAACACAGGUCUCCGCAAAGUGGUAACACGACGUAUGGGGGCUGACGCCUGCCCAGUGCUGGAAGGUUAAAGAAGUCGGUUAGCGCAAGCAAAGCUGGUAACUGAAGCCCCAGUGAACGGCGGCCGUAACUAUAACGGUCCUAAGGUAGCGAAAUUCCUUGUCAGGUAAGUUCUGACCCGCACGAAUGGCGUAAUGAUUUGGAAGCUGUCUCGAGGAGGGACUCGGUGAAAUAGAACUAGCUGUGAAGAUGCGGCUUACCUGCGCCUGGACAGUAAGACCCUAUGAAGCUUUACUGUAUCCUGAAAUUGAAUUUCGAUUUUAUUUGCGCAGAAUAGGUGGGAGACGUUGAAACCCUUCUUUUGGGAAGGGUGGAGUCAUUAGUGAGAUACCACUCUGAUAAAAUUAAAAUUCUAACUUCAUACCGUAAGCCGGUUGAAAAACAGUUUCAGGUGGGCAGUUUGACUGGGGCGGUCGCCUCCCAAAAGGUAACGGAGGCGUACAAAGGUUUCCUCAGAUCGGUCAGAAAUCGAUCUUUGAGUGCAAAGGCAAAAGGAAGCUUAACUGUGAGACAAACAAGUCGAGCAGAGACGAAAGUCGGUCUUAGUGAUCUGACGAUACUGUGUGGAAAGGUCGUCACUCAACGGAUAAAAGUUACUCUAGGGAUAACAGGCUGAUCUCCCCCAAGAGUUCCUAUCGACGGGGAGGUUUGGCACCUCGAUGUCGGCUCAUCGCAUCCUGGGGCGGAAGUACGUCCCAAGGGUUGGGCUGUUCGCCCAUUAAAGCGGUACGUGAGCUGGGUUCAGAACGUCGCGAGACAGUUCGGUCCAUAUCCGGCGUGGGCGUUAGAGUAUUGAGAGUGACCUUUCUCUAGUACGAGAGGACCGAGAAAGAUGUACCGCUGGUGUACCAGUUCUUGUGCCAACAGGAAAUGCUGGGUAGCUAAGUACAGUUAGGAUAACCGCUGAAAGCAUCU
rnacentral:rRNA from 1 species